rnacentral:rRNA from 1 species
UACACUCCUGCGGGAGGCAGCAGUGGGGAAUUUUGGACAAUGGGCGAAAGCCUGAUCCAGCAAUGCCGCGUGUGUGAAGAAGGCCUUCGGGUUGUAAAGCACUUUUGUCCGGAAAGAAAUCCUUGGCUCUAAUACAGUCGGGGGAUGACGGUACCGGAAGAAUAAGCACCGGCUAACUACGUGCCAGCAGCCGCGGUAAUACGUAGGGUGCGAGCGUUAAUCGGAAUUACUGGGCGUAAAGCGUGCGCAGGCGGUUUGCUAAGACCGAUGUGAAAUCCCCGGGCUCAACCUGGGAACUGCAUUGGUGACUGGCAGGCUAGAGUAUGGCAGAGGGGGGUAGAAUUCCACGUGUAGCAGUGAAAUGCGUAGAGAUGUGGAGGAAUACCGAUGGCGAAGGCAGCCCCCUGGGCCAAUACUGACGCUCAUGCACGAAAGCGUGGGGAGCAAACAGGAUUAGAUACCCCAGUAGUCCC